GACGAACGCUGGCGGCGUGCUUAACACAUGCAAGUCGAACGGUAAGGCCCUGCUUUUGUGGGGUGCUCGAGUGGCGAACGGGUGAGUAACACGUGAGUAACCUGCCCUGUACUUUGGGAUAACUUCAGGAAACUGGGGCUAAUACCGGAUAGGAGCUCCUGCUGCAUGGUGGGGGUUGGAAAGUUUCGGCGGUUGGGGAUGGACUCGCGGCUUAUCAGCUUGUUGGUGGGGUAGUGGCUUACCAAGGCUUUGACGGGUAGCCGGCCUGAGAGGGUGACCGGCCACAUUGGGACUGAGAUACGGCCCAGACUCCUACGGGAGGCAGCAGUGGGGAAUAUUGCACAAUGGGCGGAAGCCUGAUGCAGCAACGCCGCGUGCGGGAUGACGGCCUUCGGGUUGUAAACCGCUUUCGCCUGUGACGAAGCGUGAGUGACGGUAAUGGGUAAAGAAGCACCGGCUAACUACGUG
rnacentral:rRNA from 1 species